AUUUAGUGGGGAAUAACUGUUGGAAACGACAGCUAAUACCGCAUAAUAUUGCUGGAUAAUUUCCAGUAAUGAAAGGAGCUUUCAAGCUCCGCUGAUUGAUGAGGAUGCGGCGCAUUAGCUAGUUGGUAGGGUAAUGGCCUACCAAGGCAAUGAUGCGUAGCCGAUCUGAGAGGAUGAACGGCCACAUUGGGACUGAGACACGGCCCAAACUUCUACGGAAGGCAGCAGUAGGGAAUUUCUCACAAUGGGCGAAAGCCUGAUGGAGCAAUGCCGCGUGACUGAUGAAGGUCUUCGGAUUGUAAAGGUCUGUUGUAAGGGAAGAAAUGGUAAAACAGGAAAUGGUUUUAUCUAUGACGGUACCUUACCAGAAAGCCACGGCUAACUAUGUGCCAGCAGCCGCGGUAAUACAUAGGUGGCAAGCGUUAUCCGGAUUUAUUGGGCGUAAAGGGUGCGUAGACGGUUUUGCAAGUCUGANGUUAAAUUUAGGAGCUCAACUCCUAAUCGCCUUGGAAACUACAAGACUAGAGUAUAGGAGAGGNUAGUGNAAUUCCNUGUGUAGCGGUGGAAUGNGUAGAUAUAUGGAGG
rnacentral:rRNA from 1 species